GUUUAUUUGAAAUUAAAUGUUAUUAAACAAGAUGUCUGAGAUGUAUGCAUGCAUGUGUGUGUGUUUCACAAAUGCUGUAGUAGUUAUGAAAAUGUUAGAGAUAUUUUACUUCAGAAAUCUGGAAAGUUUGAGGAGGAACUCAAAACUAUUUGUGAGUGGAUCCCCUAUAUUCCUUUUCACUAUCUUGUCUGACAGAUAUGCACAUAAACUCAUUUUGUGAUUUGUGUAAAGCACCAUGAUAUAUUUUCAGACACUGAAAGAAUGUCUCCAUGUUGGUUAUUUGUGGUUAGCAAAGGCAAAGAAGUCAGCUAUCUAUACACUGGAGUAGUGAACACCAGAAAAUCCAGACUCUAGGGAUACAAAGGCAUGCAGCUUCUGAUUAGUUAUAAACAUCUAUAUUAAUUAUCUAUGUUCUCCUGCUCAGGUUUUUGUAUACUGCUACAUAGUUAACAGAAAGAUUAUUUCUGGUUGGUCAAUAACAUCUACUCUAAAUGGCUGGUACUGGAAAGAUCUGUGAAUCUUACUAAUCUACCUAAUUUUGUUAAGCUAGUAUAUUCAAAGUGUAUUUCAAGCAAUGAUGACUUUUGCCAGUCUUAGGUUUAUUGUGCUUUCAGUUACCAGUGCCGUUGUUGAAUCAGGGAUGUCCACACUAGGCAAAAGAAGAAUCAUGCUUGGAAAAUGUGACUAUGUCGGACGCCUGGGUGGCUCAGGGGUUGAGUGCCUGCCUUCAGUCCAGGGUGUGAUCUUAGAGUCCCACAAGGAAGCAAUUCUCUAUGUCGAGCACAUCACGAUCAAGUCCCACAUCGGACUCCCUACAUGGAGCCUGCUUCUCUCUCUGCCUGUGUUUCUCCUCUCUUUAUCUCUCUCUCUCUCUCAUGAAUAAAUAAAUAUAAUCUUAAAAGAAGAAAGAAAAUAUGACUAUGUAAUAUAACUUGUUUGAAUCAAAUUAUCUUUAUAUACUCCAGGAUUUAAAAAGAGGUAUUGAAAGAAUCUGAGGAUUGUUGCAGUGGGUCCAGUGGUUUAUUGUUUUCCUAAAGGAGAUGUAUGGUUCAUAGUUCUCAAGUGGUCUAGACAAUCAAUGACAUGGGGACCUCAGGUGUCUCUGUGGAAGCUGUAUAUGGUGGAGAGGACCUCAAAUUUUCUGAUUCUUCAAUUCUCAAUGCUCACCAAUGUGGUUCCAUGCAAAAAAAUGGGAUGUACCUCUUGGUUAAGACCAUUUAUUUGUUUUUCAUUAGACAUUUUAAAAUAUAUCAUUUUACUGGUGUUGUUGUAAUUGCUCAUUUAUCCAUAUUCUAUAAGUUUAUUUGGGGCAUUCACUUGGGAUUUAGCCCAGUGUUUUUGCAUUAACCACUGUGUUUCUGUAGACACAUAAAUUUUGGAAAUACUGUGACAAAGAAAUGCCAGUCAGCGUGUUAUGUUCUAAUUUUAACGUGCUGAGAGGAAGAUAUGAAACAUGAGCAAAAGAAGAGGGAAAACCAGGAAGAAAACAACACAGAACCAGGAUCGAAUAGGAAGAAGUAUCUCUCAAGACUUAUGUUCCACGUAUCGCACCUACAUCCUUUGAAACAUGUACUAAUGCUUCAGCAUAAGCUGUAACGUAAUGUGGUAAUUACCUUGGUUGCCAACUUUUUAUUAAUAGGGAAAACAGAAGGGACACCUGAGUGGCUCAGUGGUUGAGUGUCUGCCUUUGGGUAAGGGCCUGAUUUCGGAUUCCCAGAAUCAAGUCCCACAUUGGGCUCCUUGCAUGGAGCCUGCUUCUCCUCCCUCUGCCUGUGUCUCUGCCUCUCUCUGUGUGUCUCUCAUGAAUAAAUAAAUAAAAUAUUUAUUAAAAAAUAGGGAA
rnacentral:lncRNA from 12 species